rnacentral:rRNA from 1 species
GACAGAGGGUGCAAACGUUGUUCGGAAUCACUGGGCGUAAAGCGAGUGUAGGCGGUGUGGUAAGUCGGAUGUGAAAGCCCCGGGCUCAACCCGGGAAGUGCAUUCGAUACUGCCCACGCUAGAGUAUCGGAGAGGUUGGUGGAAUUCUCGGUGUAGAGGUGAAAUUCGUAGAUAUCGAGAGGAACACCGGUGGCGAAGGCGGCCAACUGGACGAAUACUGACGCUGAGACUCGAAAGACGUG